AGGAAGGUGGGGAUGACGUCAAAUCAUCAUGCCCCUUAUGACCUGGGCUACACACGUGCUACAAUGGGAAGUACAACGAGUCGCGAAGUCGCGAGGCUAAGCUAAUCUCUUAAAGCUUCUCUCAGUUCGGAUUGUAGGCUGCAACUCGCCUACAUGAAGCCGGAAUCGCUAGUAAUCGCGGAUCAGCACGCCGCGGUGAAUACGUUCCCGGGCCUUGUACACACCGCCCGUCACACCACGAGAGUUUGUAACACCCGAAGUCGGUGAGGUAACCUUUUGGAGCCAGCCGCCUAAGGUGGGAUAGAUGAUUGGGGUGAAGUCGUAACAAGGUAGCCGUAUCGGAAGGUGCGGCUGGAUCACCUCCUUUCUAAGGAA
rnacentral:rRNA from 1 species